ACCUACGGGGGGCAGCAGUAGGGAAUUUUCGUCAAUGGGCGCAAGCCUGAACGAGCAAUGCCGCGUGAACGAGGAAGGUCUUCGGAUCGUAAAGUUCUGUUGAAGGGGAAAAAGAGCGGAGAGAGGAAAUGGUCUCCGAUUGAUAUUACCCUUCGAGGAAGUCACGGCUAACUACGUGCCAGCAGCCGCGGUAAUACGUAGGUGGCGAGCGUUAUCCGGAAUGAUUGGGCGUAAAGGGUGCGUAGGCGGCCUGCUAAGUCUGGAGUGGAAGGUACCGGCUCAACCGGUACAGGCUCUGGAAACUG
rnacentral:rRNA from 1 species